rnacentral:rRNA from 1 species
AAGGUGAAUAGCCCCCCGGAAGGUGAUUGAAAUAGAACCUGAAACCGUGUGCCUACAACAUGUCAAAGCCCGUUAAUGGGUGAUGGCGUGCCUUUUGUAGAAUGAACCGGCUAGUUACGAUUGCAUGCGAGGUUAAGUUGAAGAGACGGAGCCUCAGCGAAAGCGAGUCUGAAUAGGGCGUUUGAGUAUGUAGUCGUAGACCCGAAACCAUGUGAUCUACCCAUGUCC